AGACACAAGAGUUCUUGGUCCUAGGAAGACAAAUGUUAACUGAAAUGAGGGACAGGAUUUAUUGCAUGACAGACCAAGUGAUGCAAAAGGCAGGGCAUUAUGAUCCAUCCGGAUAUUUUCUCAUAGAAGAUGUGUUUUGCAAUGAUACAAGGGAUCCAUCUGCAAUAGAUUAUAGUGAACCUAUUUUUGAUUGGCUUACAAACUCAAAAGAUGAUGCUCUUAGAAAAUGGGAAUGUAUCAUAAGUGGUGAGUUACAACGAAAACAGAAAGCAGUCAUAGGUGAGGUAACUACUUCACUUCACAGUUGCCCAAAUUCAGAUGUGUUGACAUGCAGAAAACACGGUUUUGUGACUUGAGAUUUCGUCUUGGNNNNNNGCCUCUACUGUCAUCAGGGAGACUGCACGCAUACCAUUGUUAUCAGAGACCUAAGAUUGAUUCAUCCCGAGGAUGUUCAGAACCGGGC
rnacentral:misc_RNA from 1 species